GAUGAACGCUGGCGGCGUGCUUAACACAUGCAAGUCGAACGAAGCACUUUAUUACGAUUUCUUCGGAAUGACGAUUUAGUGACUGAGUGGCGGACGGGUGAGUAACGCGUGGGUAACCUGCCUUAUACAGGGGGAUAACAGUUAGAAAUGACUGCUAAUACCGCAUAAGCGCACAGGAUUGCAUGAUCUGGUGUGAAAAACUCCGGUGGUAUAAGAUGGACCCGCGUCUGAUUAGCUGGUUGGUGAGGUAACGGCCCACCAAGGCGACGAUCAGUAGCCGACCUGAGAGGGUGACCGGCCACAUUGGGACUGAGACACGGCCCAAACUCCUACGGGAGGCAGCAGUGGGGAAUAUUGCACAAUGGGGGAAACCCUGAUGCAGCGACGCCGCGUGAGUGAUGAAGUAUUUCGGUAUGUAAAACUCUAUCAGCAGGGAAGAUAAUGACGGUACCUGACUAAGAAGCACCGGCUAAAUACGUGCCAGCAG
rnacentral:rRNA from 1 species